rnacentral:rRNA from 1 species
CAGUAGCCGCGGGAAUACGUAGGUGGCAAGCGUUGUCCGGAAUUAUUGGGCGUAAAGGGCUCGCAGGCGGUUUCUUAAGUCUGAUGUGAAAGCCCCCGGCUCAACCGGGGAGGGUCAUUGGAAACUGGGAAACUUGAGUGCAGAAGAGGAGAGUGGAAUUCCACGUGUAGCGGUGAAAUGCGUAGAGAUGUGGAGGAACACCAGUGGCGAAGGCGACUCUCUGGUCUGUAACUGACGCUGAGGAGCGAAAGCGUGGGGAGCGAACGGGAUUAGAUACCCCCGUAGUCCCUGUCUCUUAUAC